CAUUCAUCUCGUUUCUUUUUCUUCUCGAUCUCUCUUCUCAUUUGUCUCUUCCCCAGCGAAAUCUUUUCUUUCUUCAUCUUCAUCAUUAUAGAUAGAUAGUAUAGAUACAUUUCUCACUCUAUAUUUCGAGUAAUCUAUACUUAGUUUAAUCUAUACCCAGUUUCGAAUUUAGAGUACAGGGUUUUGAUUUGAUUGAAUAUUCAAUCAUCUAACCUGUAAUCCUAAAUUCGAUAAUUGGGUUUUGAUUUGAUAGAAACAUCAACCCCUCCCUUAAUUUAAUUGAUUCAAUUCUGUUGAGUUGUAAGUGAAUUAGUGUUUAUUGGGUUUUAGUGCGACCCCAUUUUUUUCUCUAACCUUACGAAGAAGAAUUUGAGUUAAGAAUUAACGGCGCAUAUGAUAAUUAUCAACCAUUUUUCGAGUUUAUAUUUCAUGCCUGAUCCUGUAAAUUUAGUUUUUGGAUGUAGUGGGUGUUCUCGCAUCUCUACCAAGUCUACAGUAAAUUAAGCAAGCCAACGGUCACCAGCAGAUAACUUUGAGGUACAUUGCUUUGUAUUUUUUCACUUAAUUUAGAAAUACUUGCAUUUUGAUUUUAAGUUUUAGAGACCCAAAAAAAUGUAUAUAGACAAUAGUUUGCUUAUAGAAGUUUGCUUGCUAUAUUGAAUUAUUCAAUUCAUUGUCAUAUUUACUGUGUAUUUUCUAUGCUAUACCGUCGCGGGCUCAUUGUAAUAUUUUGUCUAAUGUCUAUGGCUGCCAUUACUUUUCUCAUCUGAUGUAGGCUUUCACAAAAUAAUGCUGUAGAACUGUAUGAACAUGAGUGUUUAUGGCACGUAUUUGGCAGGUUGUAUAAGUUAGUUUUUACAUUGUGUCUCAACUGUGUAUGCUUGCAUUGUUCUUUGAGAUAGUUGUUUUACAAAAUCAUUGUACAGCAUGAUCAGUGCAUAAAAAUGCAGAGCCUCAAGUUUGACUAAUCGGAUGUUUUUGCUUUUCUUACUCAAGUUUUUCCUCACAGGGCAGGAUACUAGCCUUAGUUGUUAUAAAAAUGCAGGGAAAGGGGUAAGGAUACAUUUGUGCUAAGAGUUUAUCAUUAGUGUUUUUGUUAAGUUAAAUAAUUGACAAAUAGUGAUGGUUGAAAUGAUUUGUUCUCUUUAUCAUUCCUUUAUCCAGUUCGAUUGACAAUGUUCCACUACACUAUUCAUAUCAUAUGUAGAACCAGGUUUAGCUAUCAGGAUUCAUAAUUUAAAGCAUCAAAUUAAAGUUGACCGAUUUUGAUUUUUCAAUUGCAUGGGGUGGUGAAUGAAAUUGAACUGCUGUCUGGGUAAGAUGUAGUUUAUGGCGCUUCUUAUCCUGCCAUCUGCGGGAUCUGCGGGGGUUCCUUGCCAUAACCCUCCUUGUUCCCUGAAAUUUUCUCUAGAGAAAUAUAAUGUUCCUACGCCGAUAUGAAUUACCAUAUGAUUGAUACCAUAUCAUUUGAUCUCAGACUUGAGAGGAAAGACAUUUCAGUAAUGGAAUCAAGGUUUACUAUGAUACUCUUAAAAUGUUUCAUGCGCUGGCAUAAAAAUGAUAGCCACCAUAUUUGAAAGCUAGAAGAAGCAUGAAAGGAAAGAAAAGAUUUCAUUUCAAUUAGUAUGGAAGGGUAAAGAUACCCACGGACAUCAAAAUGAUCAAAGAGAGGAUUUGCACAUGCUUUCCUCAUUUUAUUAAAGAUACUGCAUUCCAGUCUCCAUAUAUGAUGGAUAAUUAAGAUAUUUGGCGUAGGUGUGUAUGUAUAAGCUGUCUGUGAACCCAAUCGAAUGUAAUUCACCUACCUGUCAAUAUUUAAAAAUCUUUUGAUUGACAGAUAAAUAAUCAAGUAUUCGAAAAUUGAAGUUUA